rnacentral:rRNA from 1 species
CUCCUCCUCCUCCUCCUCCCUCCCUCGUAUGCCGCCGCCACUCCCUCCCUCCUCCCUCCUCGUCGCCCCUGCCUCUACCCUAGGAGCUCCGCCACCUCCCACGCGCUCGUCCUCUCAUCUCCCAUGUCACGCCGUCGGCCCCUGCCAAGCCAUAGUGGUGCUCUACUUGCGCCCUCGCCUCUGGUAUCACCAGGCCCUCGAUGCCGGCCUCGUCGGCUUGCCGCCGCGCUCGAAGUUGUGGCCCUGGCUGCGCGUCUCGUCGCGCUCGGGAUUCACCCAUGCGCCCUCCCGCCCUGGGGAACGUGCAAAAGGGUCAAAACCCUAGCCGCCAGCAGUUCUCGUCAAGCCUCCUCCGCCUCGUCUCCUCCCUGCUCCCUCAUCUCCCACGUCGCCGCCUUCACCUCGUCUCCUCCCCGCUCCCUCCUCUCCAACGCCGCCGCCCUCGAUGCACUGUAAGGGACGCCGUCGACAGGUCGGGGAUACGCAGCGACGGAGCUCAGCCAGAGCAGAGCACAACCCCACUCCUAACCCUAUUCGCUUGAUGACAAGAGCAGGGCAACGGAUUGGAUCGAGGGCGCCCUGGCUUGGCCACCGCUGCCACCUGGAUUCGCUAGCCGCUGCGUGGAGUUGCCCUGGCCGCCGCCUUGAGUCACCUCCGUCGCCGCCUUGAGUCAACUCCACCGUUGCCGCCAGGAAUCCCAUCCCGGCAAGGAAAAUUCCUAGGGAUUUGAUUGAUGGAGGCAUCACUAUUUGGCGCUGGAUUAUCCAUUUUUGCAGCACCAGCAAUGUUGUUUUUGUUUGGAAUGGUCAAUUCUCAAUUUCUAAAUCAGCUAUACUAUACUUCUUGUCAGGUUACAUUAUCUUGCUUGGUUUCAGUCUAUAUGUAGCACAAAAAUAGAUGACAUGGUUGGUUUGUAGGUUACAUUAAGGAACACCACCAUAAGGAACGCCGCUCUCGCAUUGCACUUCUUUGUUUAUAUUUGAUCUGUUCCUAUUCGGUUUGCUGUAGUACUUAAUUGAUACACCAUUUCAAUUCUCUUGCCGUUUUCUUCUUGCUGCUUCAUUGUAUUCAGUUAUGAUAUAUUUUUCAACUGUACAAGCACUUGGGGAAGUCAGGAAAACUGAACCAAAGACAAACACUUUUACUGGAGAUGUUGGGGCUUUUUUUAACUGAGAUGUGACAGAUGCAUCUUAUUCCCUGAGAUAUAUUGCCUUUAAUUUCUUGAUUUUUUUCCCCGACAUGCUAAUAUAGAGCCAGAUAUGCAUGAUUCAUCAUACACAUUACAGUCAAUUAUCCAUUGGAAUCUUUUGUCCAUAGAGGUGAUCUUGUUUGGACCAUUAGUCUAGGUAGUGACAUUUUGAUCGAUAAGGCACAAGUUUAUUUUCUUUUUCACUCGGGCUACACUAAAGUAAGCAUCAUCAUCAGUGAAAAGAAGGCAUAAAAAUCAUGAAGUUUUUGCCUUGGUUGUGUGCCUCGUUUAGUUGUCACUUAUUUAUUUCUAGGAAGUUAUUCAAUUCUCAUCGAGCUUUCCUUAUGCUUUCCAUUGCUACAGAAGAAAUUUAAAUACACAAUAUUUUUAAUAUCUGAGGAGGCGAGAGGAGAUGAAAAAGGGUUGUAAGGUCGUACUUUGGUGCGUCUCUGGCCAACGAUGGCUGGAUCCAUCUGACGCUCUUCCAAGCAGAGCAGUACAGAUUUGCUGACUGAGCAGUGGAGAAACAUGUUUCUAUGAAUGUGCCAAAACUGAUGGAUUUAACUACAGGUAUUUGCACUAUCAUUCUACCGGUAUAUUGUCGUAUUGCAUUAUUCAACUGUAAGUCUGUUCUAAACUCUAAGCCCCAUGUUGUAAGUCUGUUCCCUAUAUAAAUCUGAUGGAAGAUCGGGCCAUUUAAUUUGAACAAAAAAGGGUAGUAUGCUCUCAGUUGCUUAAAUCUGUCGAGACCUGAAAAUUAGAUAUACUUUGAAAGCUUGAUGUACGAGUAGGAGAUAGUUGAUAAAGUUGUACCUCUUGUAGGAGAUUAUUAGUUGAUUACCUGCUUCUAUGCGGUGAACAAAUGAGUAAGCAGUUUUAGUUGAUAAAGGUGUAGGCAACACACCUUUUUUGCUUCAUUUUUUGGUUUGUAAGUCCAGGAUGUUUAGACUUUUCUGAAUAUCUUAAUUGUAAAAUAAUUUUGAUGAAUUUUUUGAACCAUUCAGUCUGUUUUGUUCAUGCAGUUCAUGAUACCACAUCUGCAGGCUACAUCUUUUGUAGAUUUGGCUACCACAUUAUAUGAUGAUUUUUCACUUUGCUCAGUCAAAGUUUCAGUAAAAAAUUGAAUUGAACAUCUUUUUGUAGACAUACAAAAAUGGUCUGCAUUUUCUACAUCGCCCUGACAUCCAAUUCAAACUAUAUUUUCUGCCUAAACUAUUGUGUACCUAUGAUAUCAUGGGAUAACUCAGACAUGAGCCAGUGUCCAGUCGCAAUUGGGUGCAUUAUUUGGUGACAUCUAGUGCUAACUGUUUUUUCAAGGCCACCCAGUGGAGUGAGGGUUAGUAAUGUGGCAUCAGCCUAUUCUGGACCUCUGUAUUAUACUCCCUCCAAUCCAAAUUAAGUUUCGUGGUUUUAGUUCAAAAACCACGACACUUAUUUUGAAUGGACCUGUGUAUUAUGCUUCCUCUGAUCCAAAUUAAGUGUCGUGGUUUUAGUUCAAAAACCACCACACUUAUUUUGGAUCGGAGGGAGUAGUAUUUAAGAGAUUCCUUGCAUACGCAUGAUUCAUAAAAGUACAGUGUGGGAUGCCAUUAUAAACUCAUGAAAUCUGAUCCUGAUAGUGACAUGAUUUACUCUGUAAAAGCUGUUUUUAUUGAAUCUGAUGAUGUCACUGCUGCUUGUUGCUGUAAGCAAGGAGAUUGACUACAAGUUUCGAUGUCAACUUGAAUAUUUAUUGUGGAUGUUUGAGCGUCAACCUGAAUUUUGUUUAACCUACUACAAAAAUAAUUUUUAGGAUGAUUGGCUGUACUACCGUCACAAAUAAUCAGGAAAGAUUAUUUUGUAGGAUGAUCAUUGUCUUCCAUAAUAAUAUUAUAGCCGCCGGCCGAACAACGAAGGUUGCACUGCAACUACUUGACUACAAGUUUUAUGUGGAGUUUCGCUGUACAGUAUGCACAAACUCAGUGAGAUAAGGAAUCAUCGUCGCUCACAUUUUUUUUCUCUUGAAAGUGAGGUGUCACCGCUGCAUUUUUUUUCUCGGAAUCAGGGAUGUUUCAAACAUUGUGUGUGAGCCCACCUUCAUAAUGUGGAAACAGACCAUGUCCAUACAUGAUAAAACAAACCAAACUGACAUGUGUAUACUGAACCGUCUUUAGAGACUUCAAUUUCCACAAAAUGGUUUCCGGUAUUUCUCCCUCUAAUGUGCAUUGUUGUGAGUGCAACUGUC